rnacentral:rRNA from 1 species
AUUGAACGCUGGCGGCAGGCUUAACACAUGCAAGUCGAGCGGGGGAAGGUAGCUUGCUACCGGACCUAGCGGCGGACGGGUGAGUAAUGCUUAGGAAUCUGCCUAUUAGUGGGGGACAACAUCUCGAAAGGGAUGCUAAUACCGCAUACGUCCUAUGGGAGAAAGCAGGGGAUCUUCGGACCUUGCGCUAAUAGAUGAGCCUAAGUCGGAUUAGCUAGUUGGUGGGGUAAAGGCCUACCAAGGCGACGAUCUGUAGCGGGUCUGAGAGGAUGAUCCGCCACACUGGGACUGGAACACGGCCCAGACUCCUACGGGAGGCAGCAGUGGGGAAUAUUGGACAAUGGGGGGAACCCUGAUCCAGCCAUGCCGCGUGUGUGAAGAAGGCCUUAUGGUUGUAAAGCACUUUAAGCGAGGAGGAGGCUACUUUAGUUAAUACCUAGAGAUAGUGGACGUUACUCGCAGAAUAAGCACCGGCUAACUCUGUGCCAGCCGCCGCAGUAA